rnacentral:rRNA from 1 species
GCAACUCGCCUGCAUGAAGUUGGAAUUGCUAGUAAUCGCGAAUCAGAAUGUCGCGGUGAAUACGUUCCCGGGCCUUGUACACACCGCCCGUCACACCAUGAGAGUCGAUAACACCCGAAGCCUGUGAGCUAACCGCAAGGAGGCAGCAGUCGAAGGUGGGGUUGAUGAUUGGGGUGAAGUCGUAACAAGGUAAC